rnacentral:rRNA from 1 species
UUCUUUGGAGAGUUUGAUCCUGGCUCAGGACGAACGCUGGCGGCGUGCCUAAUACAUGCAAGUCGAGCGGACCGGAUUGGGGCUUGCCUUGAUUCGGUCAGCGGCGGACGGGUGAGUAACACGUGGGCAACCUGCCCGCAAGACCGGGAUAACUCCGGGAAACCGGAGCUAAUA